UGGCGGACGGGUGAGUAACGCGUGGGUAACCUGCCUUACACAGGGGGAUAACACCUGGAAACAGGUGCUAAUACCGCAUAAGCGCACAGGGCCGCAUGGCCCGGUGUGAAAAACUCCGGUGGUGUAAGAUGGACCCGCGUCUGAUUAGCUUGUUGGCGGGGUAGAGGCCCACCAAGGCGACGAUCAGUAGCCGGCCUGAGAGGGUGGACGGCCACAUUGGGACUUGAGACACGGCCCAAACUCCUACGGAAGGCAGCAG
rnacentral:rRNA from 1 species